GACGUAGGAGGCGAGCGUUGUCCGGAUUCAUUGGGCGUAAAGAGCGCGCAGGCGGCUUGGUAAGUCGGAUGUGAAAUCCCGAGGCUCAACCUCGGGUCUGCAUCCGAUACUGCCCGGCUAGAGGUAGGUAGGGGAGAUCGGAAUUCCUGGUGUAGCGGUGAAAUGCGCAGAUAUCAGGAAGAACACCAAUGGCGAAGGCAGCUCUCUGGGACGGUACUGACGCUGAGACGCGAAAGCGUGGGGAGCAAACAGG
rnacentral:rRNA from 1 species